ACGAAAAAUAACGAUACGGGACUCAUCCGAGGCCCCGUAAUCGGAAUGAGUACACUCUAAACCCUUUAACGAGGAUCAAUUGGAGGGCAAGUCUGGUGCCAGCAGCCGCGGUAAUUCCAGCUCCAAUAGCGUAUAUUAAAGUUGUUGCGGUUAAAAAGCUCGUAGUCGAAUUUGUGUCCCGCGCCGCCGGUUCAUCGCUCGCGGUGUCAACUGGCGUGUCCGCGGGACGUCCUGCCGGUGGGCUCAGCUCCUCUCGGGGGGCGGCCCAAUCUCAAUCCCACCGCGGUGCUCUUCACUGAGUGUCGAGGUGGGCCGGCACGUUUACUUUGAACAAAUUAGAGUGCUUAAAGCAGGCUAAAUAUCGCCUGAAUACUGUGUGCAUGGAAUAAUGGAAUAGGACCUCGGUUCUAUUUUGUUGGUUUUCGGAACCCCGAGGUAAUGAUUAAUAGGAACGGAUGGGGGCAUUCGUAUUGCGACGUUAGAGGUGAAAUUCUUGGAUCGUCGCAAGACGGACAGAAGCGAAAGCAUUUGCCAAAAACGCUUUCAUUGAUCAAGAACGAAAGUUAGAGGUUCGAAGGCGAUCAGAUACCGCCCUAGUUCUAACCAUAAACGAUGCCAGCUAGCGAUCCGCCGACGUUCCUCCGAUGACUCGGCGGGCAGCUUCCGGGAAACCAAAGCUUUUGGGUUCCGGGGGAAGUAUGGUUGCAAAGCUGAAACUUAAAGGAAUUGACGGAAGGGCACCACCAGGAGUGGAGCCUGCGGCUUAAUUUGACUCAACACGGGAAACCUCACCAGGCCCGGACACCGGAAGGAUUGACAGAUUGAGAGC
rnacentral:rRNA from 1 species